GGCCCUCUGGGUCCAACCUCCCACCCGUGUUUAUUUUACCUUGUUGCUUCGGCGGGCCCGCCUUAACUGGCCGCCGGGGGGCUUACGCCCCCGGGCCCGCGCCCGCCGAAGACACCCUCGAACUCUGUCUGAAGAUUGAAGUCUGAGUGAAAAUAUAAAUUAUUUAAAACUUUCAACAACGGAUCUCUUGGUUCCGGCAUCGAUGAAGAACGCAGCGAAAUGCGAUACGUAAUGUGAAUUGCAAAUUCAGUGAAUCAUCGAGUCUUUGAACGCACAUUGCGCCCCCUGGUAUUCCGGGGGGCAUGCCUGUCCGAGCGUCAUUGCUGCCCUCAAGCCCGGCUUGUGUGUUGGGCCCCGUCCCCCGAUCUCCGGGGGACGGGCCCGAAAGGCAGCGGCGGCACCGCGUCCGGUCCUCGAGCGUAUGGGGCUUUGUCACCCGCUCUGUAGGCCCGGCCGGCGCUUGCCGAUCAACCCAAAUUUUUAUCCAGGUUGACCUCGGAUCAGGUAGGGAUACCCGCUGAACUUAAGCAUAUCAAU
rnacentral:rRNA from 1 species